UACGGAGGGUGCGAGCGUUGUCCGGAAUCACUGGGCGUAAAGAGCGCGCAGGCGGUCGUUCAAGUCGAGUGUGAAAGCCCCCGGCUCAACUGGGGAGGGUCACUCGAUACUGAUCGACUCGAAGGCAGGAGAGGGUAGUGGAAUUCCCGGUGUAGCGGUGAAAUGCGUAGAUAUCUGGAGGAACACCGGUGGCGAAGGCGGCAUCCUGGACCGGUAUUGACGCUGAGGAGCGAAAGCCAGGGGAGCAAAGCGGG
rnacentral:rRNA from 1 species